CAGACUUAGCUCUCUUGUGUGAUCUCCGUGUUUUGCUCUUCGUUCUCGAUCGCGCCCUGUCCUUUGCUCCAUUUGUGUGCUUGGCUCCAUUUGUGUUGUUUGCUUUCUCCACUAUGCAACUGCAAGGGUUCCUAGAAAUCGCGAUGGAUCGUCCUUUGGGUUGGCCGACGCCGAGCUAGUCGGGGGUUCGAGGAUUUGCCUCGCUUCUCAAAAAUUACAAGAGCAAAAGAUACUUUCUCUCGUGGCACUUCGCUAGGAAUAGGGAAAAAGGCCAGGGGAAAACGCAGGCGAAGUCCUCGUCUCCGCCGACGCCGGCGUCCUCACGGCAUUACCCGUCGAAUGACCAAACUGCCCCCGCACCCGCAGGGGAGGAGCCACAGCCCAAUGCCCGGCGGGCGCGUGGAACGGAACCGGGCCCGCCACCUGCGCGCGUCCGACUAGAGCGGGUUCUCGGGCCCGGGAGCGCCCCGAGACGCUCGCUGUGUACUCUGGGGUUUGGGCUCGGUCACUUCCUUGGAUUCCCCGGGCCGCCGGGGCGGUCCAACCGCGAGCCGGACCGGCUGCGUGGGCCCAGUCUCGUGCGCCGCAUCCACGGCUGCACCCCCACCCCCAUUUUUUCCAGUUCGCCACGACCACGAGCCCCCCCACACACACAGCCUUCAAUUCGUGCGAGAAAAGUAGUUGGUUGCCCACGGAAAAGGCGACGUGUGACACAGGUCGCAGCUCGCACGCGCGGUUCGGUGGUUGUGCCGCCGCAAUGACAAGUGGGCCCGCGCGUCUUUCCGUAGUGUAGCUCAUUUAGAUUUAGCACGAGUAGCUUAGCUUUUCUUUAUCAUGAGGUUAGGCCCCAUGGCGACCGUCAUUUCUAACCUCCAGCCAAAGCAUUUCUUUUGAUCUUACUUUGCAUGCGUGCGUGGUAGGUCACGGCUCAUGGCGAAGCUUUAGGGGAAGCAUCCGCGUGAGAUUUUGCGUUCAUCUUUUGGGAGGACUCGGUUCGUUUACGAUACGUUCGCCGCGCAAUUAUUUGGCCAUCAUUCUUUUGUGUGACGAAAGCGCGAGAUCUUUGGACUUGAAUAUGAGAAAGUAAUGUGAAAAACAUCAGCACCCAAAUCUUAACACCUUUUGCCAAGCGGGUCCAGUUUUAAGCAUUCGUAUUUCGCUUAACCACGCGUUCUUCACGGGUGGAACCCACCGCCACCUCUGAUAAGCAGGUUUAGUAGUAGCUUGAUCUUUGGAAAAAGAGUGCCAGUACCUCAACCGAUUUUUUUUAUAAAAAAAGUUUUCUCUGGCCGAGAAGGACUGCUUUGCAUUGGUCACUCUGUUUUGAAUUUGGAUGGAAAUGCCCGCAUGCAUCUUUACUGAUGGAAUGCCACUUUCUGCAUUUUCUUUGUGCACAUUCACUCUGUCACCUACCCAGUCACCAUUCCUCGAGUCAAUUUUUGAAAUGUGCAGACUCGCCGUUCGGAAAGCUUGGGAAAUUUCGAUAGCACCUUCGUACCAGCUCAUAAUUUUGUGGCUGCGUGGUCACCGCAUUUACGCCUCUCAAUUCGACGUACCAAUCGUCAAGCCGAAGCAAGAAAAGAUCAGUACUAUCAGGGGUCACGAGCUGAGGUGUUGUAGCUGCCAAGAAAUGAGCCCCCAGAGCUGCCCGGCCGCGGCCGGCGACGCGACGGCGGAGGAGCUGCUCGCGCGGGCGCGGGUGCUGGUGCCACCGGCCCUUGCCGCGGCGCGCGCGGCAACUGGCUUCGGCGGGCGGUGGAAGGCCAUCGCGGCGAGGCUGGAGCGUGUGCCGCCGUGCCUGUCGGACCUGUCCAGCCACCCCUGCUUCUCCAAGAACUCGCUCUGCCGGGAGCUGCUGCAGUCGGUGGCCGCCACGCUUGCAGAGGCUGCCGAGCUUGGCGCGCGCUGCCGCGAGCCUCCCAAGGCCGGGAAGCUGCAGAUGCAGAGCGACCUCGACGCACUUGCGGGGAAGCUGGACCUCAACCUCCGGGACUGCGCCCUUCUUGUCAAGACCGGUGUGCUGUCCGACGCGACGGUUCCGGCGACCCAGGCUGAGGCCAUGGCGGCAGCGGGCGGCGCGCAGACGGAUGUGCGGGAGCUGCUUGCCAGGCUGCAGAUUGGGCACGCGGAGGCGAAGCACCGGGCGUUGGACGGGCUGCUUGACGCUCUGCGCGAGAACGAGGAGAGCGUGCUGUCAGCGCUCGGCCGUGGCAACAUCGCCGCGCUGGUGCAGCUGCUCACGGCGACGGCGCCCAAGGUCAGGGAGAAGGCGGCGACUGUCCUCUGCUUGCUCGCCGAGUCCGGCAGCUGCGAGGGCAAGCUUAUGUCAGAAGGUGCGCUGCCGCCACUCAUCCGGCUGGCCGAGUCCGGCAGCCUUGUCGGCCGGGAGAAGGCCGUCAUCACGCUGCAGCGGCUGUCCAUGUCGCCCGACAUUGCCCCUGCGAUCGUCGGCCACAGCGGCGUCCGCCCGCUCAUCGACGUCUGCCAGACCGGGGACUCCAUCUCGCAGUCCGCCGCGGCCGGAGCACUCAAGAACAUCUCCGCGGUGCCGGAGGUCCGGCAAACGCUGGCCGAGGAAGGCGUGGUGCGCGUCAUGAUCAACCUGCUCGACUCCGGCGUCGCGCCUGGGUCCAAGGAGUACGCCGCGGAGUGCCUGCAGAACCUGACGUCAAGCAACGACAGCCUGCGGCGCGCCGUCGUGUCCGAGGGCGGCCUGCGCAGCCUGCUCGCCUACAUCGACGGGCCGCUGCCGCAGGAAUCCCCCGUGGCGGCGCUCCGGAACCUCGUCACCGCCGUGUCGCCGGACAGCCUGGUGUCGCUGUGCGUGCUCCCGCGCCUGGUCCACGCGCUCCGCGAGGGCUCCGUGGGCGCGCAGCAGGCGGCCGCGGCGGCCAUCUGCAAGGUCUCCAGCUCGACGGAGAUGAAGCGGGUGGUGGGCGAGCACGGGUGCAUCCCGCUGCUGGUGCGGCUGCUGGAGGCCAAGUCGAACGGCGCGCGCGAGGCCGCGGCGCAGGCGGUGGCGAGCCUGAUGGGGUACCCCGCGAACGCGCGGGACAUCAAGAAGGACGAGAAGAGCGUGCCGAACACCGCAGCUGCUGGACCCGAGCCCCCAGAACACGGCGAAGAAGUACGCCAUCUCGUGCCUGCUGGCGCUGGCGGCGAGCAAGCGGUGCAGGAAGCUGAUGAUCUCGCACGGCGCCAUCGGGUACCUGAAGAAGCUCUCGGAGAAGGACGUCGCCGGCGCCAAGAAGCUGCUGGAGAAGCUGGACCGCGGCAGGCUGCGCACCCUCUUCAGCAGGAAGUAGGCACGAUCCGAAGCAGCCGCAGCUAGUAGUGAGUGAAGCGCUCCUUCUUUUCGCCGUAAACCUGUAUAAAAAUCCCGUCCUGUUUCAUAGCCUCGAUGAAGUGAAAGUGCGGCAGAGCGGUGAAGAGAGAGGGAGAGACGGAGAGUAGUCGUGUUCAUGUGAAGUGAAACAUAUCGCGUUGUAAUUUCGCUGGCUAAUACGUGUGUCAGGCAGUUCGUUCGUUAGCUCCUGCUCCUAAGUCCUAACCAGGGUUGCAGUCCCUUCCUAAGUCUAAUAAAAAAUUCUUCAGGCAAAGAUCAUUU